ensembl:lncRNA
UUAUAAACAUCUUUAAUCAAAUCAAAUUUAUUUAUAUAGCCCUUCGUACAUCAGCUGAUAUCUCAAAGUGCUGAACAGAAACCCAGCCUAAAACCCCAAACAGCAAGCAAUGCAGGUGUAGAAGCACGGUGGCUAGGAAAAACUCCCAAGAACGGCCAAAACCUAGGAAGAAACCUAGAGAGGAACCAGGCUGUGGGGUGGCCAGUCCUCUUCUGGCUGUGCCGGGUGGAGAUUAUAACAGAACAUGGCCAAGAUGUUCAAAUGUUCAUAAAUGAUCAGCAUGUUCGAAUAAUAAGAAGGCAGAACAGUUGAAACUGGAGCAGCAGCACGGCCAGGUGGACUGAAGACAGCAAGGAGUCAUCAUGUCAGGUAAUCCUGGGGCAUGGUCCUAGGGCUCAGGUCCUCCGAGAGAGAGAAGGAGAGAAUUAGAGAACGCACUUAGAUUCACACAGGACACCGAAUAGGACAGGAGAAGUACUCCAGAUAUAAAAAAACUGACCCUAGCCCCCCGACACAAACUACUGCAGCAUAAAUACUGGAGGCUGAGACAGGAGGGGUCAGGAGACACUGUGGACCCAUCCGAGGACACCCCCGGACAGGGCCAAACAGGAAGGAUAUAACCCCACCCACUUUGCCAAAGCACAGCCCCCACACCACUAGAGGGAUAUCUUCAACCACCAACUUGCCAUCCUGAGACAGGGCCGAGUAUAGCCCACAAAGAUCUCCGCCAUGGCACAACCCAAGGGGGGGGCGCCAACCCAGACAGGAUGACCACAUCAGUGAAUCAACCCACUCAGGUGACGCACCCCUUCCAGGGACGGCAUGAGAGAGCCCCAGUAAGCAAGUGACUCAGCCCCUGUAAUAGGGUUAGAGGCAGAGAAUCCCAGUGGAAAGAGGGGAACCAGCCAGGCAGAGACAGCAAGGGCGGUUCGUUGCUCCAGAGCCUUUCCGUUCACCUUCCCACUCCUGGGCCAGACUACACUCAAUCAUAUGACCCACUGAAGAGAUGAGUCUUCAGGAAAGACUUAAAGGUUGAGACCGAGUUUGCGUCUCUGACAUGGGUAGGCAGACCGUUCCAUAAAAAUAGAGCUCUAUAGGAGAAAGCCCUGCCUCCAGCUGUUUGCUUUGAAAUUCUAGGGACAAUUAGGAGGCCUGCGUCUUGUGACCGUAGCGUACGUGUAGGUAUGUACGGCAGGACCAAAUCAGAGAGAUAGGUAGG